rnacentral:lncRNA from 1 species
UAUAGCUCUACUAGAAUAUAUAUAUUUUAUCCCAUGUAUAUGAAACAUCUUUAGGCUAGAUCAUGAACUGAACCACAAAACAGGCCUUAAUAAAUACAAAUGGACUAAAGUCUUGUCAAACAUGUUCUCUUCCACAUGGAAGAAGGUUACACAUCAGUACCAAUAAAUCGGGAAACUCACAGAUAAGUGAAAAUUAGUGAUAACUUAAAGACCAAGUCGGUCAAUAAAGAAGCGGGAGAGAUGGCUCAGUGCAUAAGAGUACUUACUGCUCUUGCAGAGGACCUGAGUUUGAUCCUCAGCAUCCACACUGAUGGUUCCCAGCUACCUUUGUCUAUAUAUGGGAUAUGCUUAGAGAUAAGCCUAUUCAAUGAGAAGAAAGACCGUGUAACAGUAAUUCACUUCAUAUCUUAAGCCAUAGGAAAAUAAUAGCAAACUACACCUAGAACAAACAAAAAGGGGAAAACAUGCAAAAUGCCUGAGAAUAGAGUACAAGAGAGAAAAUGCAAGGAAUCCAAGCGAGAAACUGGCAAGCCUUUUGCUACAUACAGCAGGAAGAGGUAGAAUGUAAUCAUUAGUUUGAGAAAUAAAGGAGGGAAUGUUGCUACUGACCUUUGAAAAAUAGAAGGUGUGUGAGGGAGUACUGUUGUACUCAUGUGUCAAUAGAUUAACCUACUAAAAAUGAACAAAUCCCUAAAAAGAUAAAGUACCAAGAACCAAAUAUAGGAAGCCAGAAUCGACCUACUAACAAAUAGGUUAAAGAAGUCACAAGACAGAUAAGCCACAACAAUACCUAUACUUAAGUUGCUUUAGAUUUGAAAUCUAGAGUUCUACUAAAUGUUUAAUAAAACAGUAAUCCAGUUUCUUCACAUGCUGUUUAUUAAGAAAAUAAGGAAUACUUCUGAGAUAUACCACCACAUGGGAGAACCCUGAGAGUAUGUUCAGGGAAAGAAGCCAGUCACUGGUGAGGACAAAAUGUGCAAUUCCAUAUAUAUGUCAAGUACAGAGUUGGUUUAAAAAGUGCAUAUAUAUGUAGUAAUAAAUGGUAGGCAAGAAAAGCUAGAGUGUUCAUAAAUUACAUCAGUGGUUGUAUAACAAUGAACAUACCAAGUGGGUGAAUGUUGUGGUAUGUGAAUUAAAUCUCAGUGAAACUCAAAAACAUAGGAACUUGGACAUUAUCCAAAUGUCCACCUGUCAACAUGAGUGACUUUUAACUGAUGGCACAUCCAUUUAGUUGGGUAUUAUGAAGCCAUUAAAACAGUAGACUAGAUCUAUGAAUAUAUUGUGACCUCUACUCAUAUCCAAGAUUUUAUAUUAAGUUAUAAGCUAAGAUACAUGUAUGUAUGUAUUUAUGUAUGUUUGUAUGUAUGUAUGUAACACAUUUUUAAGCAAAUAGUUCAUGUGUAUAGUUUGUAGAGAUAAUUUCAAAACAAAUAUAGGAAUAAAAUAGGAAAUGUAUAUAACGGGCUGUAAACCUUCUGCAAGUGACUCCGUACAAGCUAAAAACAAAACACCUCCACCUUGGAAACAUUUUUAGGUGGUAUGAUUUGGAGCGAUUUUUACCUUUUUCACUACUUUUUAAUUAAAGUAAUUUUUAAAUAUUCUUACAAACACUUGGCUUCCAAAAUAUUAGUCAGACCUACUCUGAGGGUUUCUGACUUUACUCAGGACAAACUUGUAUUCAUUUGCUAUAUUGCUCACGCGAUUAACACUUCAAUUUCUCCUAGAGUUUAAGGGGUGGGACGUGAAGGAGCCACCCUGGUUACAGCCUCUUGCACAUGUUACCCUGGGCUACACUUCUCAGCCAGGUUUCCCGGAAGGGACUGCUUCCUCUCAGGUGGGCAGCCUUACCUCCUCCUUGCUAGACCUGCAGACCACUUAAAAAUGGAGACAAUCUAAUCGAGGGUACCUUUCAACUGGUGCAGAGAUAGAGAAAUUGGUGUAUCCCGACAGCAAGAUUCUACUCAGCAAUAACAAACUAAGGAACCAUAUAUGCAACAACUUGGAUACAUCUGAAAUGUAUUUUGCUAAGUAGAAGAAGCCAGACUCAAACGGCUGCUUACUGUUAUAUUUCAUUUGUGUUGUUUUCUGGAAAGGAUGAAGCAAUAAGGCAGAAAAAGCAGUAGACACCAAGUAUCGGCACAAGGGAUUUCUUUUUAAUAAUAGGAACUUUCUCUGUGUUAUUUAUAGUUACAAUGUGUAUGUGUUUGUUAAAACUCAGAGAAUUAUGCAACAAAAGAAUGGAUUUUAAUGUGUGAAUUUUUUAACAAUAAAAGUAAUUUUUGAUGAAAUAG